ACUGUUAAAUUCCAAAAAAAAAAAAAAAGAAAUUAAAAAAAGUGAUAAUGAAGUAUCUCACAAUUCUCAUCUUUCUGGAGAAUUAAAUACUUGUUUUGUCUAACGCUGUAAUUAUAUUCAAUUGCAUCCAAAUCCAAUCAUCAAGUUACUUUUCAAGCUGGCCUUAUUUUAAUUUUUUUGGGGGUCUAUAUUUGGGUACACAAUUUUUUUUUUUUUUUGGAGAAACUGGUACUUGUAAAAUUUCCUAAACCAACCGGUAAAGUAAUCUACCGGACGAUCGGAACAUGGAGUGGGAGAGUGAUGAGAGAGAGCUAAAGGCUGUCGGAGCUAAGCCUCUACCGGACGGACGGAGUGGACUCCGUAUACACGGCUGGGAGAUUGAGUCUAGAAAGCAUUCCAUUCUCACUUCUCUUCAGCUUCAACAGUAUUCUUUUACUCCUUUUAUAUUGUGUUAAGAGGAUUACCGAAUGAACGCAGCUGUAGUCUUUAAUGGGAGGAUUGCAUUGACAAGAUUGAUUUAAAGCUCUGGCAUCAAAAGAACCUAUUCUCUUUUAUGAUGAGAUCAUCUUAUAUGAGGAUGAACUUGCUGAUAAUGGAGUCUCACUUUUAACAGUGAAAGUGGUAAUGUUAUUCUGGUUCUUAUCAAGUCAUAUCAAUUUGUCCGACUUACGAUUCACUGAUGAUCGAUUUCUGUGUAUCUCUAGAGAGUCAUGCCAAGUGGUUGGUUCUUGUUGCUGCGUUUAUGGGUGAGUGUCUCUGUUGAGGAAACAUAAACAAUAUCUUUUAGCGCCUGAGUUAUUGUUUCUUAGUCUCUUUUACUUAUGGUUGAAUGCAUUACACAGCUUAGAGUUGAUGGAGUGCUAAGUCCAUUUUAUUCACUGUUUGAGCAGGCAAUCUCGAUGUUACUUUAUCUUUGUAUUUUUAGGGAGAAGUCAUUCAUCUACUCCUUUUAUAGACUUGUUGGCAUCUUUCAUGAUCUCUAAAGGUUUGUUGAUGCCGUAAUGAUACAGGAAACUGUGGUGCUGAAAUUAGUUACUCAAAGCAGAAUAGUUGACAGGCUUCAGGGAGGAUUUUCAUAAAGAACAGACUAGGAUUUGGAAUAAGAUUGCUUCUGUAGUGAGAUGACAAACCAGAUUCUAAUUCAGUGAGAAGAAAUGCAGGAAAUAAAGAAAGAGAAAAGGAAGUAGGAGAAAAGGGGUGGGAAGGUGGGCAGUCCUCUUUACCCUCAUAAGGUCGAAAUCUAUCUAUGCACUCCACAUUUUCAAAUCAUAAUCUUCUUCAUAACCAGACGAACAAUUCAUGUCUCAAUUACAACUAAUAACAAGAAGCACAAGUCUUGAAGAUUAAAACCUCUUGUUGCCUUUAGAAUAUCAGGGUACUAAGUUGUUACUAGACAUCUUAAAGAUCGAUUUUACUAGGACUUAAUUAUACCUCUAGUAUAUUUUUCGUGAAACUUCCUCCCUUGUUAUCAGAUCUGGUUGAGCAAACAAAUCCUUUUUUCAUUAACUUUUUGAUUGAGAACAAAUGUUAUUGGUAAACUUGAUGAUGAGUUAGUUGGUAAAUGGUAAAUGAACAACAGAGAACCCAUUUGUGAUGAUAAUAGUCAAGUUAUGAUGAACAUUAUGUUUCAGAAGUAAAACAAACAAAUACAAAAAAUUGUACUUUUAGACAAGACAAUUCAUACAGUUUUAUGAAUCCAGUCAGAGGUUCUAAGUUUGAAUUUCACCGCCUUUAUCAACAUGAUUAUUUCGUGUGCUACUAACCCAAAAAAUCAUGGUUGCAAUUGAAAGGGCAUGUUGCAACAUAAGACAAAUAUAUAGAAGUGUUCCUUGCCAGGAUGGUGGGGUUGAUUCAGGGCAACUAAAUAAACUUCAGUCACUAGCCAACCUUUUUCCCCAUAAUUACUUUCUUCAAAUUUUCUCUUUUUCAAGGCUUUAGUAGAACAUAUAAAAAAGAUUGUCUUCAACUGUAGGCUGUGGUUUUGAUCUAUGUAUUUCAGAAGAUUGCAAAGUCCAUUAGUAUUUGAUGGUCUAUACUAGUACGUCUAUGUAAAUGAUGAGAUCUUAAGGCCAUUUUUGCAUUAGUUAGCCAAGCAUGGACACUAGGUUCAACAGGUUAUACUGGUAUAUUUUAAAUAGUGGAGGGCAGACCAAAAAGGUUUAUGAAGUGUAUUCAAGCAUAUAUGCAGCAUGUACAAAUAAAUGAAGUACUCAGAGGUGGUGAGUGGUAAUUUUUGAAAAUGUGAAAGGAUUCUUGUAAGCUCAGUAGAAUUUGCACCAUUGUUAAAAAAAAUUAAUAAUGGACAAUAAUUUGUAUACCCUAUUAUAGGUAACUGUUGCUUCUAAUAUCUAAACUGGCGAACAAGUGGUACUGGGUGGCUUUUGUCAACUCGAUAUGAAAGAUAAAAGCUUCAUAUCGAUAGUAGCAACACCAAAAUUUCAAGGUGGGGGUGGGAGGGGAGUGAAGGCGUUGUGGCCUAUGCUAGCCCUCCUAAAUGCGUCAUGACAUGUAGAAGCGCACCACUUCUUCCUCAGUUUUGGAGAAGCUCAAAACUUUAAAAUUGCCAAAUUGAGAAGUCAAGUUCUCUUUGCUACUGACUGAAAUAUUAUAACUUCAACUGGUCAUGUGGGUUCCUAAGUGUGUAGUGAAGUUACAGUUGAUUGAAAAUUUGGCCUUACAAUGAGAUAUUAUCUUAUGUUUCUAUCUCUUAUGCAUUAGACAAUCUGAAAGUUGAGAGUUGAUGACUUGUAGGUCAGCUAUUUCUGUAGAAUCUGAUGGCAGUAGGGUACAUCUCUGAACAGUUAGAUUGAUUGCCGACAUGCUUUCAUACCAACCUUAUGAAGCACUUUGUAGAGAAUGGUUUGCUGACUUUGGUGCUGAAUAAAGUAGGCCUAGACUUCGUGAUUUUGGAAGGGGAAGUAUAAAAUGUUAAUUUAAACUUGUGUUUCAUGUGUGCGCAGGAGAAGUUCAACAAAAUUCUAGAGUGGUGCUAUUGAUGGGUUUCUGUUUUGCUGUUUCGUUUAGCACUUAAGUGUUAUUGCUGACCAUAAGUAGUUUUGAGUUCUGUUCUUUGGCAUGUGAUUGUGGAAAGAGGUCUAACUUACAUUGACAUGUUGAAAGCAAUAGAGGUGAAGGCCCAUCCAUUUCUUUUGCCAGUGUACUGUGUGACAACUUUUUCCUGAACACUAUCCACCACCAUCUAAAAUAACAA